rnacentral:lncRNA from 1 species
AAGGCACCCGGGCACCAGUUGACCCACAUGAGGGACCUUCAAGAGGUCCAGCGAGCACGGACCACCAGUGAGUUGACUCUUUGUUUUUAUAAAUAAAUUUAAGCAGUUCAGUUACAGUAUUUGAUCUUGAAUAAGUUUUAUUCAAGGAUUAGUGUUUUAUAAGCUGUUAUAUGCUUUUAAAUAUUUUGUUUUGCAUGUUGCCGAGUGAAAUUUCUUUUAAAGGAUAUAGGAAAAGAAAUUCUAGUGAAUUAUCCGAUUAUCAGAUAAAUGAUAGCAGAAUUUUAGAGUUUACAGAAAUUCAGUUAUUCAACAGAGUUUCUUCAGAAACUUUAUAUUUUCCUAAACCACCUUAGGUACCCAGAUAUACAACUGUUGCCUUCGGAUUUUAUUGGUUGCCUUUAGUUUAGUCAGCAUGCUUGACAGUUGCCCCAUGAGUUCUUUAGUACUCGAACUCGUGUGGAGCGAGUAGUGCGGAUCAGGCUGAAUACGGUCCCCUGAAUCCUGCUAGUUGCGGCUCGGGACUGACCUUGUGUCACUGAGACCUGCGAGUACGUGCCACCUUUGGUGAUGCGAGAAAUUGACGGAUAUUAGGAAUUGAUGGAAAUAAGGGAUACACCUAUGUGGUAGUUUUAAACUGUUUUCAAUGCCUUAAGAAAUUAAUGUUGACCAUGAGUAUGAUUGGCAUAUAUAUGUAUAAUUAUAUGAGUGCAUUGAUUUCAGUACGAAUAAAAUAAAGAGAAUAAUUUAGUUGUAUAACUGUUUUUACAGUGGGGUUAGUAUGUUCUUAUGUAUUUUCUAAACUUGUUUUUAGGUCCACUCACCCUUUCAAUGUUUUGCGUCCCCAAGCAGGAGGCGUGCACAGUGAUCCACCACCAGGCUGUUUUCCACCUUCCGUGAUUUCCUUUCUAAUGUAGGACUUUUUGUUUUGUAAAAGGAUUGACUUCUUUGUAAAUUCUUAGUAGUCGCUCUGAUAAUUUGCC